CAGCCUUGAGAGAAAGGGAUGACUUGAGAAACAUUCAGAUAUUUGAGAGGAACUGCAAAGGCGAAAAGCUUUUUCCUUGGUCCAUUUUGGUUGCUCCAAACACACAGGCAUGGAGGGCCAUUGCUCUCCAACCUACUCUGGUACCACCCAUCAAAGGAUGCUGCUGAAAACUUUUAUUUAUCCAAAGGGAACCCAAGUUGUCUUUUGUUACCAUAAUAUGUGAAUAAGACCAGAAAUCUGUGCAAGUGUGGCUGAGGACAUUGACAGAGCGGCCCUACCUGGCCAAAGAAGAAACAGACCUUGGAGAGGGUCCUCACUAUCAACAUCGAGGCAAUGCUGAAUUGCUGAAUCAGCAGAAGACCACUGAUUCCUGAAUAAUCCAAGAAAAAUUAUCCCAACUCAAAGACACCAGCUAAAAACCCAGAAAAUUCAUUUUGAUCAAGAACCAGCAUGUGGUCCAUGGUGCCCAUUUACUCUGACAUCACAAUGUAAUGUAAGCUCCUAGAUUACACCAUUGAAAGACAGGAGCAGUGUUCAGUUGUCCCUCCCCUCCCUAACUUAUUGCAGCUACACGGCUGUUGAGGACGAGCAUCUCUUCUGUUGGUUCAGGAAGACCCUCUUAUUAGU
rnacentral:lncRNA from 1 species